GAGGAAAGUCCGGGCUCUAGAGGGCGCGGCGGUCGUUAACAACGACUGUCCUGACAUGUACAGGAUAAGGAAAGUGCCACAGAAAAUAUACCGCCCUGAGCUUGUCGAAGGGUAAGGGUGAAAUGGUGAGGUAAGAGCUCACCAGUAUCCCAAGUGAUUGGGAUAGCUUGGCAAACCCCGCUGAGAGCAAAACCAAAUAGGGGAGCACUGAAAUGUACAUCAUUUCAUCAAGUGGCCCGCUUGAAGCUCCCGGGUAGGUUGCUAGAGGUACCUGGCAACAGGUAUCCCAGAUGAAUGACCAUUACCCCAACCAUCUGAUUGGGGGACAGAAUCCGGCUUAU
rnacentral:RNase_P_RNA from 1 species